UCCAUUGACAUUUCUGUGGGUUCCCGCCUGU
rnacentral:piRNA from 2 species